GACAGAGGGUGCAAACGUUGUUCGGAAUUACUGGGCGUAAAGCGCGUGUAGGUGGCUUGGCAAGUCGGAUGUGAAAGCCCUGGGCUCAACCUGGGAAGUGCAUUCGAAACUGCCGAGCUCGAGUCCUGGAGAGGAAGGCGGAAUUCUCGGUGUAGAGGUGAAAUUCGUAGAUAUCGAGAGGAACACCGGUGGCGAAGGCGGCCUUCUGGACAGUGACUGACGCUGAGACGCGAAAGCGUGGGGAGCAAACAGG
rnacentral:rRNA from 1 species